rnacentral:rRNA from 1 species
AUUGAACGCUGGCGGCAUGCUUUACACAUGCAAGUCGAACGGCAGCGCGGGCUUCGGCCUGGCGGCGAGUGGCGAACGGGUGAGUAAUGCAUCGGAACGUGCCCAGUAGUGGGGGAUAGCCCGGCGAAAGCCGGAUUAAUACCGCAUACGACCUGAGGGUGAAAGCGGGGGACCGAAAGGCCUCGCGCUAUUGGAGCGGCCGAUGUCGGAUUAGCUAGUUGGUGGGGUAAAGGCUUACCAAGGCGACGAUCCGUAGCUGGUCUGAGAGGACGACCAACCACACUGGGACUGAGACACGGCCCAGACUCCUACGGGAGGCAGCAGUGGGGAAUUUUGGACAAUGGGGGCAACCCUGAUCCAGCCAUGCCGCGUGCGGGAAGAAGGCCUUCGGGUUGUAAACCGCUUUUGUUCGGGAAGAAAUCCUCUGGGCUAAUACCCCGGGGGGAUGACGGUACCGGAAGAAUAAGCACCGGCUAACUACGUG